UUACACAUGGUUGCUGGAAAAUGCUCUUCGUUCACACUGCUCGUUCGAAGAUCAAUUAAAACAGUGGGGCACACAGAAAUGUUGGCCCACUUAACUAACUUUCCAUGAAUUUUUUCUUAAGCUUUAUGAUUGAAUAUAAGGAUGUAUAUCCGCAAGCUAGCAGCAAAUCAUGGCAAUUAAGUAUUAUAAACAAUAUAAUAGAGUAAUUUUUU
rnacentral:lncRNA from 1 species